UACGAAGGGGGCUAGCGUUGCUCGGAAUUACUGGGCGUAAAGGGAGCGUAGGCGGAUAUUUAAGUCGGGGGUGAAAGCCCAGGGCUCAACCCUGGAACUGCCUUCGAUACUGGAUAUCUAGAGUAUGGGAGAGGUGUGUGGAACUCCGAGUGUAGAGGUGAAAUUCGUAGAUAUUCGGAAGAACACCAGUGGCGAAGGCGACACACUGGCCCAUUACUGACGCUGAGGCUCGAAAGCGUGGGGAGCAAACAGG
rnacentral:rRNA from 1 species